rnacentral:rRNA from 1 species
AUCCGGGCCGGGGAAUUCAGUUCGGCCGCGGCAUUCCGUGUCGAGUCGUUCGCCAUUUCCCCGGUCAAUGAAACACGGACGUCGCGACCUGUUCGUCGUCGGUCGAGGAGUCGCGAUCGAGUUCGUUGUAUUCGGGCGUUUACGCGUCCGGUGCGGCGAAGUCGCGAAUUUCCGGCCGACCGGCGGACAGUAUGCCAACAGUGACCGGGUGCUGCUCCGCGGUACUCGGUGCUGGUCGGCGACGAAUUCUUCGGGUCUCUUUCCGACCCGUCUUGAAACACGGACCAAGGAGUCUAACGUGCGCGCGAGUCGCGGGGUGUCGAGCGUACUUCGGUGCGCUCGUUACAACGCGAAACCCGUAUACGUUGAAGGCGUAAUGAAAGUGAACGGGGAAGAUGACGUCUCGAGUACACGUUCCACGGUCGUUGGUACUGUGGCCGAGCGUCCGCAUUCCCGGGGCAUCUCAUCAGUCCAUCGCGAACGCGGAUAGUCGUCUUUCGGGGCGGCUGUCGGUUUGCGAUGAACCGA